rnacentral:rRNA from 1 species
CAGUAGCCGCGGGAAUACGUAGGUGGCAAGCGUUGUCCGGAAUUAUUGGGCGUAAAGGGCUCGCAGGCGGUUUCUUAAGUCUGAUGUGAGAGCCCCCGGCUCAACCGGGGAGGGUCAUUGGAAACUGGGAAACUAGAGUGCAGAAGAGGAGAGUGGAAUUGCACGUGUAGCGGUGAAAUGCGUAGAGAUGUGGAGGAACACCAGUGGCGAAGGCGACUCUCUGGUCUGUAACUGACGCUGAGGAGCGAAAGCGUGGGGAGCGAACAGGAUUAGAUACCCCAGUAGUCCCUGUCUUUAUACA